UCACUCCUGCCACUUCGCAGGAAGCCAUCUCAGCACCUUUCCCUUGUGAAGACCCGGGAGUGCAAAAGUGUCCUUCUGCGGGGACCUUCCCACUGCUACCGGCAGCUCUAUCCUUCUCUCUCCGCUGCUUCCCUGCAAGCGUGAAGCCUCCAUCCUCUCCGCUCUCCGGCUAUUGUGGCGGCCCUGCUGCUUUCCUGAGUUCCCUGCUCGGUGUUGCAGAAGAAAGCAGCAUACUCAGGGCAGUACACAGCUCUCCAGAGGCUGCUCUGCUGGGUCUGUCCAUCACUGGUUGUGGAAGCAGCAGGAGUAAGGAUGGAAGCGGUCAGCCGGAAACGUCUCUGAAGCAAGGAGGUGGUUGCAGCCGGAGUGCCAGGGAUUCUCCGGGGAAUCUGGGAAAUCCAGGAAAACACCUUAGCAUGGUUUUAAUGCCUCUCUAGAGGCAUUGUCCAGAGCAGGGAUUAAGUUAGAUUCAGGGCUGGCUUUCAAGAUGCAGCGUGUUAUGGUUUCAUUUUCUGCUGGUUCAUGGAUGAUGUCUCCUCAGGGUCAGGUUUUCCCAAAGCAGCAGAAACUUUAGAGAGUCUGAUUUAAUUAAUGGUUCUGAUCGAUCUGAAACAUGGAGUGUGUGUAUGUGUGUAUGUAUUAUAUAUGUGUUCAUCUACAUAUCUGGGCGGGGUGCAAAGAAUAUUUUCUGAAGGUAUGUUUAGGCAUUUCUGCAUACAUCCAUCUGUAAUAUUGUCCUGAGUCCUUAAAAUUUAUUAUUUCAGCUGUGAAUGCGUG
rnacentral:lncRNA from 1 species